ensembl:lncRNA
ACCUAAACGAUGCGGAAGUUGAAGUCACCGUGGAGAACGUAAACUAAUGUUAAGCAGCCUCCUGAAAAUUAAAGAAAAGAGCCAAAGAAAAUAAAGAAAAAGAGGCAGAGGCGGCGGAGCGGACACCGGCCGAGCAGGACGCUUCUUCUCCGUCUGCUCUCUCACUGCUGCCGGCAUGCAGCGGAGUUUGUUUAGCUAGCCGUUACUGUCACUACUCCUCCGGUUCUCCGUUAACCGUUGCCUUCUCCGUGACCGUCAGUCCGCCCGUUACCGACACAGCUGCCGAUAAAUGGACCCACCGGGUGAGUCAGAGUCCACGUCGGAGGUGCUGCGGGACUGCACGGCUCGUUAAACCUGCUACAUCCCAUCCUCUCCUGGAGAAGAAAUGGAGAAAAAGUUAGUAGCCGCAGAUGUAUUUGCAUUUUUAUGGGAAAGAUCAACAAGGAAAUCCUCUUAAAAAUGCAAAAAAGGAGAACAUUUUUAAAGUUCUGGGUCUUUUGUCGACCUGAAGUGGAACCAAGACUGUUUUCAGUCGCAAAGAUGAAGUGAUGCAACACCGAAGAAGCUGCUGUUAAACUGUAGCGAUGGAAGAGGACGUUCUGCUCAUACCUCGUCGUCCUCACUGACUGAUCAGCUUCGGGGGUCCUGAUACUAGACAGGUCUUCUCAGGACCCUCCACCCCUCCGUAAGCUGCCAUCUGUCACUGCCGCUCCUGAUUGGCUUGAAGGCUUCAGUUCUGCAGGCAGGCCGGGCCCCGAUUGGCUGGCAGGCUCCCUGGGAGAAGGCGGGCGGGUCAAGACAGCCGCUGAUUGAUAGAUAUCGGAAGUGGAGGAGGAGGAAGAGGA